UACGGGGGGGGCAAGCGUUGUUCGGAAUUACUGGGCGUAAAGGGUUCGUAGGUGGCUCGCUAAGCCAGACGUGAAAUCCCUCAGCUUAACUGGGGAACUGCGUCUGGGACUGGAGAGCUUGAGUGCGGGAGAGGAAUGCGGAAUUCCAGGUGUAGCGGUGAAAUGCGUAGAUAUCUGGAGGAACACCGGUGGCGAAGGCGGCAUUCUGGACUGCAACUGACACUGAGGAACGAAAGCCAGGGGAGCAAACGGG
rnacentral:rRNA from 1 species